UACGUAGGGUGCGAGCGUUGUCCGGAAUUAUUGGGCGUAAAGAGCUCGUAGGCGGCUUGUCGCGUCGACCGUGAAACCUCACAGCUCAACUGUGAGCCUGCGGUCGAUACGGGCAGACUAGAGGUAUGCAGGGGAGAACGGAAUUCCUGGUGUAGCGGUGGAAUGCGCAGAUAUCAGGAGGAACACCGGUGGCGAAGGCGGUUCUCUGGGCAUUACCUGACGCUGAGGAGCGAAAGCAUGGGGGAGCGAACAGG
rnacentral:rRNA from 1 species